CAACAAUUAAUAAUUGCCGAUCUUCUCUAAUCUUAUCCAUUCUCAACUGGCUUGUGCUGUUAGGAAGACUGCUUUUUCUCACUUGACUGGAUAUCUUUCUCAGGGUCAGAACAAUCUUUAUAUACACUAUAGCAACACAUAUGACAAUCACAUCAAAGAGAGAGAACAGACUGAAACGCAUGUAGUUCCGAAUUGUUUUGAUUUCCGAGAUACCAGCUAAGAUCGCAGAGAGUGAACAUAUAAUGGCAAUACACGCCAGGGUCCUCUCUUUUGUGACAAUAAUUUGUUUCUUUAAUGGGUAAUGAACAGCAAUGUAUCUUUCAAUGGACAUUAGAAAAAUGAGAUAGAAAGAUAUUUGAAUGGACAUCCAAAAUAUAAAAUAGUAUGCACGAAG